rnacentral:rRNA from 1 species
ACUCCUACGGGAGGCAGCAGUGGGGAAUUUUGGACAAUGGGCGAAAGCCUGAUCCAGCCAUGCCGCGUGAGUGAAGAAGGCCUUCGGGUUGUAAAGCUCUUUUAGUCGGAAAGAAAGAGUUGCAAUGAAUAAUUGUGAUUUAUGACGGUACCGACAGAAAAAGCACCGGCUAACUACGUGCCAGCAGCCGCGGUAAUACGUAGGGUGCGAGCGUUAAUCGGAAUUACUGGGCGUAAAGCGUGCGCAGGCGGUUCGUUAAGUCUGAUGUGAAAGCCCCGGGCUCAACCUGGGAAUGGCAUUGGAUACUGGCGGGCUGGAGUGUGGCAGAGGGGGGUGGAAUUCCGCGUGUAGCAGUGAAAUGCGUAGAGAUGCGGAGGAACACCGAUGGCGAAGGCAGCCCCCUGGGCUGACACUGACGCUCAGGCACGAAAGCGUGGGGAGCAAACAGGAUUAGAUACCCUGGUAGUC